AUCCAACUGACGAGUCCCAAAUAGAACGACACGCGUGUCGUGGAU
rnacentral:hammerhead_ribozyme from 1 species